AUAUCUCAAUCCUGGAUUUUCUUGUAAGAUCCAGGACUUGGACUUGGAGGCUGCUGGCGUCUGUCAACUCCUCUCUAAAUGCAUUAGCAGAGUCUUUCAAGACGCUGCCUUGGUGUGAUAAUUGUCUACACCAUGUGUAUGCGUUUUGCUCGUUGCUACCCCGCUUGAAUAAGGCGGUUGUGUGGCUGGGACAAAGCUUCUAACCGUCUGUGAAGACAAACAUCUGAC
rnacentral:misc_RNA from 1 species